UUAUGUACAUGCCUAUAAAGUUAAUGCACCAGAUCCCAUCAAAACUCUGCAGUUAAGCCUGUUUGGGAUAGAGAAAUACUGGGAUGGGUGACCUCUUGGGAAGUCCUAGUGUUUUACAUACU
rnacentral:rRNA from 1 species